UCCGCACGUGGAAGCUCUGACCCGCCCACCACGUGGCCAGAGCCCCAAGGAAUAAAUCUCCAAGAACUCCUUGGCGUGGCCACUUCAGGACCCUUUCCUGCAGAGCAUGAAGCAAAUCGAGGUGCUGCUGGACAAG
rnacentral:lncRNA from 1 species